CGCGCCUCGGAGACGGGACCGGCGACCGCGCCCGCGCUCCGGCCCUGGGACCCCAGCCGCGAGGCUCCCCGCGCCGAUCCAGCCGUCGCCGAGGCCCCCGAGUGCCCGGAGCGCGCGAAGUGCUGUGCCGCUUUCCGGGUGAUUUGCUGUGCGGGGCCGGGGUGGUGGCUGCCCUCAUUGCACACGCGGAGGUGAAGUGACAGCCUCAGAGCCACCCAGCCUGUUAGGGAGGAGGCCGCUGAGGACACUGUUUCCUGAUCCCGCUGCUCGGCCACGGAGCAUCCCUUCCCCUGAGGGCCUGGGCGCAGGGCUCCCAGCCCACCCCAGCUCUGUACCCCAGAGGACUGCGCUCAGGGUGUUACGGGGCUAGGCCCUGGAGGCUGGAGCAGGUGGGGCGGAAGGAAGGACCAGGUGGUCUGCUGUUGGGUGGUGGAGGGACCUGGUGGCAUCAGUUCAUUCAUUGACUGAGUCAGCUAUUGAUGCUUCUACGGUAAUGUCGUGGGGAUACAAACACCAGUGGCCCCAGCGGGGGCUUGGGGGCUAGCCUCCCCCUGGUUUCCAUGAGUUACUCCAAGCUACACCAAAAGGAACAUACAAGAAUGUUCUUUGAUAGGAGUAAUUGACAUGGUCUUCCAUUUUCAUAGCACCCUUGGAGGGGGUAUUUGAACUGAGGGUUGAACACACGGAAGUCCAGUGAAUUAAAGGAGAGAUAGAUUGUGCGGUACCCAAGGCCAGCAACAAAGGGGAGCUGUUACCGCUCCAGACCUGAAGGGCAGCGGUGGUCCUGGGAGAGGCAGAGCCCGCAGGAGCUGUGACCUUGGGGAGAGGGACGCUGCGACCUGGCACGGAGGAGAAUGAAUAUGUAUACUGACCUCACUUUCCUCCUGCCUGCUUUUCUUGUCUGCGGGCUCCUCAUUGGCUAAGUCCAGCCAAGCAGGGGCAAAGGAGUCCCCACUCCUUUGGACAGCUUCUGGCUACUGUGUGCAGGGCAGCUGGGGCAGUAAGGUGUCCAGCGCCCUUUCUGAAGUGUGAAGAAAAUCAUCUUUGAAAUGUUGCUGUUUUGUUUCAUGGGCAGUGGUAUACGAUGAUCCAGUGAGGCUGCUCCAGCCAUCAGUAUACAUUACCAGCGGCAGGAAGACACAAGGGACGCAGAGGAGCCUGUAUUUAAGGACCUUGCCUUUGCACAUGACAUUGCUAUGCACCCCGCUGGCUAGAACUUGGUCCCCGUGUGGCAUCUAGCUGCAAGGGAAGCUGGGCAGUACGAUCUCACCCCUGGACAUCAGUAACUGGAAACCAGGAGCUGCUGCUGAAGGCCAGAAAUGACCAGUGGAUCGGACCCCCGUCCUCCCUGCACAGAAUAUGUCCCGCAGCGUCCGGUGGCAGAGGCCACGGGGUCAUGGGGCAUGCUGGAGCCUCCCCACGCUGUCCUGCUGGCAUCUCGCUUCAACUCAUUUUCACAGAUGAGGGAACUAGGUCUCAGGGGAGCAAGUGGCCUGUCCAAGGGCCCACAGCUGACAGACCAAGAGAGGCAGGCCCUGCUGAGAAUUUUCCAGAACUUUUACCCACCGGGCGUGCGGUGGGGGUGGUUCAAGACCAUGAGGCCCCCAUCACUCCCUCACCCAAGAUGCCUCUUCUCUCCUGGUCUCUUGUUGACUGAGGCUGUCACUGCCUCCUCUUUAAGCAGGACACAGGAGUGACCAAAAACCCCUUCCUAUCUUCCAGAGCACGGGAGGCAAGGCAGGGACAGUGACAAGUGGCCAACCUCUGGGUGACCAGCGUGCCCUCAGCACUGGAUGGGAGCCCAGGCAGAGAGGAGAGGACCUGGAGCUGCCCCUCUCAGUCCUGAUGUGCUCCCCGCUGUGUCCCCUCUGCUCACCCCCACCCGCCCCACAGCGGAUCAGCUCUCCGCUUGGGCCCCAGGGCAGCAUCCUCCAGGGCCAGAACUCGGUCUCAGUCUUAGUCACUGAUGCUAACUCCCUGCCGUACUGUCUUCACAUUCACCUUAAAACUCACAAAGGGGCACAUGUUUAUAAAAAUAAAAGCAGACAUUUCCAAGGUGCAUAA